rnacentral:piRNA from 1 species
CAACCAUGUAACUGCAUUAACUCACCC